rnacentral:misc_RNA from 1 species
AACCUAGCACACCUGCGGUGUGUACCUGCGGAGGGAUCAUUACCGAGUUUACAACUCCCAAACCCCUGUGAACAUACCUAUACGUUGCCUCGGCGGAUCAGCCCGCGCCCCGUAAAACGGGACGGCCCGCCCGAGGACCCCUAAACUCUGUUUUUAGUGGAACUUCUGAGUAAAACAAACAAAUAAAUCAAAACUUUUAGCAAUGGAUCU